UUUCCAGAAUAAAACAUGAGAAAGCAUAGAAUGGGAGAGAGUACAGUAGAAAGAGCUAAUCUUUGCUGAUAUCCUCAAUUUGUGCAUGGGAAAAGGAUGGUAAGUAAAUAAGGACAUUAAAAAUAAUGUUCUAAACCAUCAACCACACAAUGUCUCUGAGGAAGUAUAUUCUACUUUGCAAGAUAAAACAUAGAGAAGUUUUUAUGGAGGUUGGAUUAGAUUUUAAGCGAACAAAGGGAACCUUUCAGUAAGGUGAUGUGCAUGAGGGAAAGAGACAUUCUGGUUGAUUAAGAAUGUUAUUUUGUUAUUUUUUAAGGGAGAAAUAAGGUCCUCUGGUUUACAAUGAUGGUGCAUCUGGCAGACAGACAGAUUUGUUGUGAUGCAGCCAUGCUUUUCGUUGGUAACAAUGCCCCCACUUCUGAUUGACAAAGAAAUCUCUGAGCUGCCAGUACAUGUAUGAGGAAAUACAUCAACCCAUUAAGCAGAAUACUCUGAAAAUUUUAACACGAUUUGCUGUGAAAUUUUAUAAACAGCCUUCCUGUAGUAGAAAUGUAAUAUGCUCAAUAGAGUAAGAAGGAUAAAUUUUGCUAUUAUAUCAGCUGUGACUUCUGUGACUUCUUUUUUAAAUUUAUUUUUGUAAUUAACACUACAAUUGUAUGUAUUCAUUGUGUACAUGAUGUUCUUCAGUACAUAUACAUUGUGAAAUGCUCAAAUCUAGCUAAGUAACAAAUGUAUUACCUUACACAUAGUUACCAUUUUUGUGAUGAGAAAUUUGAACAUCUACCCUCUUAGCAGUUUUCAAGAAUACAAUAUACCAUCAUUAACUAGAGUCACCAUGUUGUACAACAGAGCUCUUGAACUUAUUCCUUCUAUCUAACUCUAAUAUGAAUGCUUUGAUCAGUAUCUCUACAAUUGCCCCUCCCUGUGGAACCACCCCAGCCUCUGGUAACCAUGCUGCUCUCUAAUUCAGUGAGAUCAACUUUCUUAAGUUCCACAUAGGAGUGAAAUCAUGCAGUAUUUGUCUUUCUGCACCUGGCUUAUUUCACUUAGCAUAUCAGACUUCAGGAACAUCCAUAUUGUUGCAAAUGUGUCUUUUGACUUUAAAGACAGUGAAUGCUUCACAGUGCAAAUGACAUCAUUUCCUGACACUGAUUCCUCAACCCAAGUACAAUUUGCAUAUCUAUUCUCUGAUUUGUUUAUACUUUUUCAAUGGAAUAAGUUUCAGGAAAUAUACUCUGCUUACUGUACUUUGUAAAUGAGAUGAAAUAUUUAAAUCUUAAAUUUUCAUUUAUCACUGGCUUUGAGUUAAAUGUGUGUGUGUAAUUUCAAUAAGAAAUGUGAUGAGGAAUAUUUUGGCUCCUGACUGAUAAGAGAAGCUCAUGCUUAAAUCCUUCUUAUAAACUAAGUUGAAUUUUAAGAAUAGAAAGAGGACACACACACUUGACAACAGAUUUCUGUGGGCAAACUAACAUAGGACAGAGGAGAUUGGAAGAAAGUAAUUCCAAUUAGAGAGCAUAAAUCACCAAGCCAGAAGGAUGGGAUAAAAUGAGUUAAGGGUUUAUACACUUACAAAAGGAAACAAAGACACACGAAUGAGUGAACAGAUCUGGCUCUUAAAAUGAUUAUUGAGCGUGUUAAGUCUACAGCUAUCCUGUUUUGAGAUCAAAGAGGAGUUUCAGAAAAUUCAACAUUAAUUUGCACUAUUUUUGUCAGCUGUGAAAUCAUAUGGGAAUCAAAGCUUAGCUAAAACAGUUCUUUUUUUAUUUUUUGGUCAAUCACAGAAAGUUAGACAUUUUUAAAGUUGCAAUGGGCUUUUUGAUUUAACAGCUUCAAUUAUGGCCACUGAAUAUAUAAAAUUUAACUCAGUAAUAAAACAUAGAAAAUAUCUGGGGAAAUGGACUACAUUUUAUACUGUCAAAAUAUAAUUUUUAAAAAGUUAACAGCAUGACUCAAAGAAAUAUGACAUGAAAAUGUGUCAAAAAUGUAUUAAUUCACUAAUGAGGAAAACAGUAAAAAGAUAAAACUAACUUAAAGAGCAUUUAGAAAAACUGGGCAUUGAAAGUCAUUUUGACAAAAAUAUUAAAGGAUUUUAAAAUAAUGUGUCCCAGUUAACUACAAAACAAGUAAAUGUCUUAUGGGGCAAUAAAAUUUUGAACCCCAUUAUUUUCUUCUCUAUGGGACAGAAAUCUUCAUACUAACAUGUACGUCACAUAGUCUGGGCUCAAAUGAAAUAAUGGUAACACAGACACAUUCCCUGAGAUAAUUAAAUAAUUGUAAUGUAGGCUUGUUAAACAAUAGCUCAUAUGGCAUUGAAAUUAUACUGUACAUAUUUUGUUUUGUUUAUUUUCAAAUUUUGGGUACUUUUUCUCUACAGUUCAUUUACAACAGAAGAAACUGGCAGGUCAUGUUAAUCCUUGUAAUAAAUAUAAUAGACGUAUUUCAGUUUAUGAUUAAGGAUGUACUUAUGUAAACUAAUGAUACUGUAUAUGUAAAAUUAGAUUCUAAAAUAUUAAAACUUAACAAUUCCAUCUUUAUAUAAAUAAAAAGUAAUGCAUACUUGAUCUCAAUUGAUAAUUAUGGCUGUUCCAUUCCAUAUGUUAUUUACUUACAGAAAUAUGGUUGGUAGUAUUUUAAAAAAUAAGUUCCAUUGCUGGCUAUGCAAUAUAUCUACACACCAAAACUACAAUUUACCCCCAAGCAUGUAAAAAAAAAUUUAAAGAAAAAUAAAAACAAGAAAAAAUAAUUAGAAAGUAAGUGCAUACGAACUUUGUCAAUGGCCACAGCUUUUACCACUGUUGCUUUUCACUAUCAUUUUAAUUUCCACAUUUAAAUAUUCAUUUUUAGGUAAUAAUUUUUUUUUGGUAACUAGAUCUUUAAAAUUAACCCUUCAUUUAUAUUAUCAAGAAAAAGGAUAGUGAUAACUAGAAAUAAGUCAAAAAGUGACAGAGGCAGAAGAAUGGGAAUGGUCCUAUGGAAAAUAAACUUUUAAGUCUGUAAUAAUUGGUAUGGAAAGAUGCCAAAUGCAUACUAACCUGCUUUUGAACUUGCAGCUACAGUGGUCAAUUAUUUUACAAGCCAAUUUUAGACAUUUAGCAAAGCUUCACUUAAGCCAAUUUUGUCGGUUUAUGCUCAAUAUAAAGUUAAUUUUUAAAGGGUUGAUUUGGGCAGCUAAGCAAAUUCAGCUAUAGCAUCUGACAUCUGCUGCUUAGCAAAUAAUAACAUUAGUAAAGGAAGAAGAAUUUCCAAAAGUGGAGGACAUGGUUUAGUAAAUCACUGGAAAACUUUAAUCAUAACUCUUUUCUCAUAUUGUGUCCAGACUUGGUGGGUUCUUGGUCUCACUGACUUCAAGAAUGUAGCCGCGGACCCUGGCGGUGACUGUUACAGCUCUUAAGGUGGCGCGUCUGUAGUUUGUUCCUUCGGAUGUUCAAAUGUGUUCGGAGUUUCUUCCUUCUGGUGGGUUCGUGGUCUCCCUGGCUCAGAAGUGAAGCUGCAGACCUUCGCGUUGAGUGUUACAGCUCUUAAGGCAGCGCAUCUGGAGUUGUUCAUUCCUCCCAGUGGGCUCAUGGUCUUGCUGGCUUCAGGAGUGAAGCUGCAGAUGUUCACGGUGAGUGUUACAGCUCAUAAAAGCACUGUGGACCCAAAGAGUGAGCAGUAGCAAGAUUUAUUGCAAAGAGCAAAAGAACAAGGCUUCCACAGUGUGGAAGGGGAC
rnacentral:lncRNA from 1 species